UUUAGAAAAUCGGAGUCCUUAGCCACAUUUGCUUUCAUACUUCUUUUUAUUUAUUCCUUUUCAGAAUCCAUAAUUCAUGUCCCCCUAUAAAACAGAAGGACAAAGAGAGACAAACCCAUGUUCCAUAAAAGCUGGACGUUUACAGAACCUACAGAGAGGACAGAGGCAAAUAUUCCUGGAAUAACAGAAAUAUGAGUUGUUCUGUCAUUUGCUGGUGUGCUUGUCCUGAGCAGCAGGAUGUGACAUCUCCCUGAAACAAGGACAUGAUGGAUAUAGGAACUUCAGCACUUCCCCAGUUCUCCAUGUCAGUGUGAUGCUCAUUUAGUAUCUCCUAUCUAUAACUUCAUCGUGUUGAGAUUCCCAGGGAAACAUAGGGAACUGGGGGCU
rnacentral:lncRNA from 1 species